rnacentral:misc_RNA from 1 species
ACCAAUAGUUGAUAUUGAACAACUAUGAAACUGAAAACCUCUAAAAUUGCAUACAAGAAGCAUUGCACUCAAACAAGGGAUUUAUCUUUUUCAGAAAUUUCGGCUCUGUUUGUUAGCGGGAAUCAUUUCCCCAUUUUCAGGCAUAUGAAAAGUUUACAAAACUUGAUUUAUGGAAAAUGUUUUGCUUAUUGAAGACAAACUAAGCCUUUUCCAAGAAAAUGGCUCUUUCUUUCAGAACAAAAUUCAUUUUUCAGAUGUUUACAAACUUAUAUAAAGGAAUGAAAGUAUGAAACCUAUAAGAAAACUGCAUAGACACAAACCAUUAGUCUACCAACCACCACUGAUUAUCUCUAACUGUCACUAGCCACCAACAACAAUAAGUGGCAACCACAAUUAGCCCAUUUUAUGUAAUUUUCUCCCACAUUCAAUUACAAAUAGAAAACCCCCCAGGUUCUUCUAGAUCCAAACAUUUUUCAUAGGCUUAAUUAUUCAAAGACAAUAUAUAUUUUCUAAUUCACCUCCAAAUGCCCCCCCAAAAAAAUAUCCAACUGAUUUUGAGAAAUGCAGACAAACAGCAUCAAACAAGUCAUUUUUCAAAAAUAUUUUCCAUAAAACAAACUUAGGCUUAGUGAAGUUUCUUUUGACAGGUGGCACUAAUUAAAUCUCACAAAUUGGCACUUUCACCACAUUCAAGUCCUUUUAUAUACAAUGUCGACAUAUAUGUAAAAACAUUUGGACAAUCUUUCAGCAACUUUUUAUCAUCUAAGAAUAAGAUUCAAGUAUCUCAUGGCAACACAUUCCAGAUCAUAGUUAAACAUUAAUAAACAAGGAACUGGUCCCAAAUUUUUCAGUGACCCACCAAAUUACAUUAAUAAUGUGGUGCAAUCACAACAUAAUAUAGUAGAAAUAAAAGACAUAAGAAAAAAUCUAGCACCAACAAAACUAGAAACUCAAACAAUAAAACAGUAUAUUCAAAUGCGAUAAUUUCAGUACCAGGUGUGCAUCCAAGGGAGGUGGAUAGUUCCCGCUAACAGUGUCUAUCCAGCUAAAUAUCAUGUUAUGAUAUCCAUAAGGUUUGCCAUUCAUACUCAAUGCAUACUCCCAUGCGGCAGUCUCAUUAAACUUGGCUCGCAAAUCAGGAUGAAGAGGAAGCAGCGCAAUAUGUGGAUUAGAGUCAUCCUUAGUCAGCUCAAAUUCCCACCAUUCAUCCCACGGUAACACAGCAAUAAUAUCUUCCCCCUGUUCAUUUUCAUGUCCUGAUUCACCAACCCACAAUUUUCCUUCAGAGUCCCUUAAGCAAACAGCAGUAUGACCAGCAUACGCUCCACUGACCCACUUCUCCAAAGUCUCAAAACCACCCCACCUCCCACGAAUUUUUGAUAUUGCAAGGAAAUCUCCUGAGUGAAUAUCAUUGGUACUGAUGUUGGUAACCCAGGGCUGAGGACGUUGUUCAAAGGUAGCUCCCAUGCGCUUCUCAAGGAAUCUAAUAUUUGAAUUCUCUCCCCAUGCGGUAUUUGUAAAUAGGGGGAAGACAUCCCACAGUGCUUGAAGGGUUCCCAGCAUCCCUGCUUGCAUGAGGAAAAUUGAAAUUCCCCUGUUUUUCAUAUAUUCAUACUCAGCUUUCCCUUCCCACUCUUUAAACUCGAAUGUAUGCUCCCGCGAAAGAAAAUAAUAAUCCCAUGUAACCCGGUAUGGAGUUACAAAGACAUAAAGAUCGAUACAUGUCCAGCUAUGAGCCUUGCUAACCUUGAUAUGAAGUGUGCCGCCGCCAAAUUCACUGCCAGUCUUGUUGUGGAACUCCAUCCAAGCCGUGUUAUUGUAGAAGCAGGCACCCUUCCACUGGACGGUGUCAUUUGGAGACGAGGCAGCUCCCACAAAAGUUGGCAAAAGGUCAAGGGCACUAUUGAGAUAAUUGAGAAUUGGCCACGAGACUUGCCUAGGCAACAAAGGCAGAAGAUCCUGCGAAUGAAAUGGCACUUGCACUGCUUGUGCGGCAAAAAAGGAGAGAAAAAAGGAAAUUAUGAGUACGGUUAACGAAGAAGAUGGAACCAUCAUCUUCGAAGAGAAAGAAGGAUAAAAAUCUUCAACAGAGAACGAGAGAGCGAGUGACAAAUUAGAACUCCAUCCGUCUCGUCUCUUGUCUCUUCUCUGCUCUUGUGGGCCGUCCCUUCGUUGCUCUUGGAUUUACGUCACGACUCUGAAACAAGAAUGAAACAU